rnacentral:rRNA from 1 species
UACGUAGGGCGCAAGCGUUGUCCGGAAUUAUUGGGCGUAAAGAGCUCGUAGGCGGUUUGUCACGUCGGAUGUGAAAGCCCGGGGCUUAACCCCGGGUCUGCAUUCGAUACGGGCAGACUAGAGUGCGGUAGGGGAGAUCGGAAUUCCUGGUGUAGCGGUGAAAUGCGCAGAUAUCAGGAGGAACACCGGUGGCGAAGGCGGAUCUCUGGGCCAUUACUGACGCUGAGGAGCGAAAGCGUGGGGAGCGAACAGG